AAAUAUAUUCAGUAUAUGUAGGUUCCAUGAGUUACUCUGUCUGAAGAUAAUAAGGUAGAAGAGCAACAGGAAAGAACACUUGACACCCUCCUUUGGUCCCUGGGUGUGCACAUCUGUGUACACAUGCACACACUUGCAAAUAACACACACAUACACACGAUGGCCACAUUGGUCACACAAUAGCCAAUGUGAUAGUUCACACUUGUAAUUCCAGCAUGGGAGAGGCUGAGGCAGGAGGAACUUGCUCAGAGGUUUGAGAUUCGGUUGAUAAUGACAUGUGGCUUGGGCAUUGUGGAGCACGCCACUCAGGAAGCUGAGGCAGGACGGUUACAAGUCUGGGGACAGCCUGGGCUACAUAGCAGAACCCUAUCUCAAAACAAGCAAGUAAACAAAGACUAAGAUCGUAGAACAAGAACAAAAACUGGGAACAUUUUCAUUGCCCUGACGAUGUUGCAGCCCCUCAUCUAAGUAUUUUACCCAUAUACAGGCCCAGUCUCUCUGGAAUAAGCUAUCUUCUGAAAACCUGGACAGAGGAGCCCUGUAUACAGAUGAAGACAGCAAGCUUCCAGAAGGUUAAUCAACUCCCACAAUGAAAGACACAUCACUGGGACAGAGUCUACUGGGAAAUGCAUGAGAA